AUUUAGAGGAAAUUGCAACUUAUAGCCCAAAGGUUUGAAUAAUUAAAUUCAGACUUAUAGUUUUUUUUAAUAUAAUUUUGGGACUCACAAUCCUAUUUUUAUAUUAUUUUUCUCUCUUCCUCUCAUGUUGCUCGGCGUUUUCUCGCAGGGGGGGUUAUUUUUUUUCUUCAGAUUAUAUUGACAAAGAUAGUGGUGAAAAAGGAGUUGUGAAGGGGAACUUGUUAUUCAAGACACAAGGAGCGAGUCCGGCCGAGAAAGCACCAGAGGUGUAACUAUGGUGUAUGAGACACCAUCUUUUACGUUGCCUCUUAUUUUGGAUUAUACAAUGUAUCUUGUGCCAACUUAGGACAUAUCUUCUUUGUGAAGCAUGUAAACUCUAAUCCUUUUUAUUAAAAGUAUUUAUAUGACCAAGAGGAUUAUGUCUGUCCCUCUUGAUUCAUGACCUGAUUUAAAUAUCAUGCCAUGAAGAUCCUGUCUGUCCCUCAUGGUUCUAAUUGCUUUUUGAGAUA